GACGAACGCUGGCGGCGUGCUUAACACAUGCAAGUCGAACGGAAAGGCCCUGCUUUUGUGGGGUGCUCGAGUGGCGAACGGGUGAGUAACACGUGAGUAACCUGCCCUUUACUUUGGGAUGACUUCAGGAAACUGGGGCUAAUACCGGAUAGGAGCUCCUGCUGCAUGGUGGGGGUUGGAAAGUUUCGGCGGUUGGGGAUGGACUCGCGGCUUAUCAGCUUGUUGGUGGGGUAGUGGCUUACCAAGGCUUUGACGGGUAGCCGGCCUGAGAGGGUGACCGGCCACAUUGGGACUGAGAUACGGCCCAGACUCCUACGGGAGGCAGCAGUGGGGAAUAUUGCAAAAUGGGCGGAAGCCUGAUGCAGCAACGCCGCGUGCGGGAUGACGGCCUUCGGGUUGUAAACCGCUUUCGCCUGUGACGAAGCGUGAGUGACGGUAAUGGGUAAAGAAGCACCGGCUAACUACGUG
rnacentral:rRNA from 1 species